UUGAACGCUGGCGGCAUGCUUUACACAUGCAAGUCGAACGGUAACAGGGAGCUUGCUCCGCUGACGAGUGGCGAACGGGUGAGUAAUGCCUAGGAAUCUGCCUGGUAGUGGGGGAUAACGCUCGGAAACGGACGCUAAUACCGCAUACGUCCUACGGGAGAAAGCAGGGGACCUUCGGGCCUUGCGCUAUCAGAUGAGCCUAGGUCGGAUUAGCUAGUUGGUGAGGUAAUGGCUCACCAAGGCGACGAUCCGUAACUGGUCUGAGAGGAUGAUCAGUCACACUGGAACUGAGACACGGUCCAGACUCCUACGGGAGGCAGCAGUGGGGAAUAUUGGACAAUGGGCGAAAGCCUGAUCCAGCCAUGCCGCGUGUGUGAAGAAGGUCUUCGGAUUGUAAAGCACUUUAAGUUGGGAGGAAGGGCGUUAACCUAAUACGUUAGUGUUUUGACGUUACCGACAGAAUAAGCACCGGCUAACUCUGU
rnacentral:rRNA from 1 species